rnacentral:tRNA from 1 species
GGGGGCGUAGCUCAGCUGGGAGAGCGCAGCGUUCGCAACGCUGAGGUCGUGGGUUCGAUCCCCAUCGCCUCCA